GAAAUACAAUUUUGAGCUUCCCUCUAUCUUAGCGAAAAAAGCCAGCUCAAAACGCGAAUUGUUCCUCCAGCUUCUCAUUUGCGAAUUCUUCCCUCCACCUUCUCAAAACCCACCUUUCCUUCUCACUCUCUCCCAUGUUUUAUUUGUUUGAGUUUGGAUUUAUUGCUCCCCGAGUAUGCAAUGAAUCGAUUGUGAACUGCCUUUCAGUUUCUUUGUCGAUUCUGCAGAGCAUUUUUGCCUUCAUUGUGAAUAUUUAGUUCAUUGGGACAAUCAGCCCUGUUCACUGGGACCCUUUUUUUUCAGUUGUGUUGGUCCAUCCACUUUUUCAACCCUUCAGGUUUCAAAUUUUGGAGCAGAUGCCAAGUUACUAGAUUGAACUCGGUUCAGGUGUUUAUAUGAUAGCAGCGAUAGUUUGAGUGAGACAAAUGUUGUUUUCGAAACCAGUUUGAACUUUAUGCAAGAAUUGUUGAAGAGGGGCAUUAUCCCAGUUGCAACUGUUUGUGGGGUUUUGGAGUUUGGAUGUCCACGCGUUUUCGCAGUUGAAGGUGUUGUGGAUGCAAGAUAUGGCGUUAUUGGACAGAGCAUACUUUUGCUUAGAAAUACUUGGCCUAAAGUGUUGCAAGUUCUUCGCAUAUUCAAGGAACAAGGUUUGGUGCUGGCAGUGCUUUUGGGCCUUUCGGCCUUUUUCUUUAUGGCAGAGACUUCAAUUACCACACUUUGGGCUUGGGAGGGUAUAGCUUUUAAGCUUGCUAAGAAAAAGAAAGGUAUGAUGAUUGGUUUUGUUUCUUUUGAAGAUGAAGAAUUGAAAAGUUCAUCAAAGAAUUUUGAAGGAAAAACAACAAAACGGUAAAAGUUGUUGAUGUCAUUCCUCGAUCAUUUCAAAAGAAAACUAACUCCAAUGUUGCUUCCCAUCAAGAUUGGAUGAAGGGGAUGAUCCUUCGAGUGGAGCUUUGGAUGCCGAAACAAAUAACGAUAAGUUGGAACUUUGGAUGCAAGGUUCGAUUUCUCAUUAGGCAUUUGUUUUCUUGAUUAUGUGUAAUGUUUUAGGGUACCGAUCUUGAUGCUUAAUGUUUGUUUGUUUAGUAGAACCAGUGCAGGUCUAAGGGAAGUGAGGCAUUACUUACAGGCCUAAACAAAAUAUCAUUACCAUUUCCUUAUACUCUUUCCAUUAUUCUAUUGACCAUUCUAUACGUGAAUAUCAUUUAGAUUAUGUAUGUAACAUUGACUUCAUCCCCCAGAUGGAUUGUUCCUUAUAGAAGUUGAUCGUGUUCUUAAACCUGAAGGAUAUUUUGUUUUAACCUUACCUACAAGGAGACCACAUGGUUCAUCCAAGGAGAAAAAGAGAUAAUGUUCAAAUUUGAUACCUUGUUUAGGGAAAUUGAGUGUAGUACUGCUCACAUUGACACUCUUUUACUGGGACUGUUUCUUGCAUACCAAAUUUGAGAUUCAGGUUCUAGAAGGUGUAAUUAAGUAUAUAGAUGUAAUGCAUUACUUGUUGAGCAGCGAGAUGGAAUGUCAAAUUUCAUCUCUGAUGUCAUUGCACAGCUUUCUAGCAAUGAUGCUUCAUUUCGAGCUGAAAGUUUGUAACGGGAACAAACUCAACAUUAUAUUAGUUCAGAUUUUGAAGCAUGAAUGGCCGGCAAGAUGGCGAAGCUUUAAUCCAGACAUUGUCUCUGUAACUAAAUCUAGUGAAACAAUUUGUCAAAAAUAGUAUCGCUAUAUUGAAACAGCAACUUGGUUUGUAUUUAACUUCUCCCUCCUUCCUUCCUUCGUCAUGUCAAUAUCAACAACACCCAAGAAAUGGAGGCAGCAAUGCAGGGUUGGAAAGUGUCUAAAAUAUAACCAAUAAGGUGGAAACUGUGCCACGAUUAGUGUAAACCACAAAUUGUCACCAUCAUUCAAUUUUAAUUAUUUUAAUUUAUUUC